rnacentral:rRNA from 1 species
UACGGGAGGCAGCAGUAAGGAAUAUUGGACAAUGGCCGCAAGGCUGAUCCAGCCAUCCAGCGUGCAGGAAGAAGGCCCUAUGGGUUGUAAACUGCUUUUAUCAGGGAAUAAACCUCUGGAUUCACUCCGGAGCUGAAGGUACCUGAAGAAUAAGCCCCGGAUAACUCCGUGCCAGCAGCCGCGGUAAUACGGAGGGUGCGAGCGUUAUCCGGAAUUAGUGGGUUUAAAGGGUGGGUAGGCGGCUUUGUAAGUCAGGAGUGAAAGUCUGCGGCUCAACCGUAAAAUUGUUUUUGAUACUGCAUGGCUGGAAUUGGGAGGAGGUCAGCGGAAUGUGGCAUGUAGCGGUAAAAUGCAAAGAUAUGCCAUAGAACACCAAUUGGGAAGGCAGCUGGGUAGACCAGGAUUGACGUUGAGGCAAGAAAGGGUGGGGAGAGAACAGGAUUAGAUACCCUGGUAGUCCACGCCCUAAACGAUGCUUACUUGACGUAUGGCACUAGUUGUUGUGUGUCCAAGGAAACCGUUAAGUA